AUUAUUUUCUAAUUGGCCAGAACAGCCGUCCUUUACUUCGCAGGUUUUUAGUUAGGUGCAGUUGAUAUGAAUCUGGCUGGGAGUCCCAAAGACUCAGAACUGAACAUAGACGUUCAUAUCGACCUAACACAGUUUUAGUUUUUAUUUCAUUUUUGUCUCAUAUUUUUUUUUUUACAUUAGCUGUACAUUUGUGUAUAUAGAUAUUAUUUUAUAUUUUUAUACAAGUCAACAAGAUGGAACUUAAUUCUCUUUUAAUUCUCCUGGAGGCUGCAGAAUACUUGGAAAGAAGAGACAGAGAAGCAGAACAUGGUUACGCGUCUGUUUUACCGUACAAUAGCGACUUUUCCCGAAAGAAAACGAAAGCUUCACCAAUUUCAAGAAAAACUCAGAACAAUAGAUCGUCACACAACGAGCUGGAGAAACACAGAUGACACAAAGUGCUUAUACAGAAACCCAGCCAAAAUCCUGAAAACAGCAAGCAAUGGAGAUGUAGAAGCAUGGUGGCUAGGAAAAACUCUCUAGAAAGUAAGGAACCUAGGAAGAAACCUAGAGAGGAACCAGGCUCUGAGGCGUGGCCAGUCCUCUUCAGUUAAUAGCCAAUUCCUAUAGGUCUAUUUGACUUGGUGCUAGCCUGAUCCCAGAUCAGUUUAUAGCCAAGUCCUAUAGGUCAUUUAGACUCUGCUAUACAAAACAAACAGAUCUGAGAGCAGGCUUCAACCUUCCCCACCCUCCUUCCUCCCCCUCUGUCUCUCUUGUUCAUUUCCCUGGAUAAGCUGUAUGUCUCUCGUGCAGACAGUCCCAUGGUUUGCUUGGAAGGACUCCCUGUUCCCUAAUAAACAAGAGGUGAUGGGGUGAGGACUGUCGGUAAAUGUCAGAUGUAUUCUUGUGGAGCUGAAGUUUAAAAAGCACAUAGUAGACUGAAAAUAUGAAAAUGUCCGGCCACUUGUUUGCGCAGUCCCCUCCCUUCACCUCUCUCGCCCCACCACCUCGGAUAAAAGAUGAAAGCGCAUCAAAGAUGAGGAGCCUUGGGCAGACAGAUAAUAAUCGGAUUUCUAAGGCAACCUCAACCUUUGUGUUAGAUUUGUCUUGUGCCUCCGUGUCUGUUCAUAGGGAGAAACUUGUUACCAUGUAUGGCAGGGGAAUCCUGCCAUUAAUGUGAUAAUCCAGUGGCGGGUGGUGAAAGGAGGGGAAGUAGGCCUCGCCUGCCAUGUCUCUCAGCUAGGCCUGUUGAGUCGCCCACUCACGUCCCAGAAUGCAUUGCACCUUUCUAUCUACCUCUCUCUCUCUCUCUCUCUCUCUCUCUCUCUCUCGCUCUCUCUCGCUCUCUCUCUCUCUCUCUUUCACACACACACACAAACACACACACACACACACACACACACACAAACACACUGUAGAGGGAUGUAGAGGGAUGUUUGAGGAGAGUAGAUGAAGAGUAGAUGAAAGAAAAAAGUAUAGUGUGUUUUUGGACCUCUGUGUGUAGUUUUAUUUUGUCUUCUCCGACUCAGCUGAUUUAGUAGUGUGGUGUUUCUUCUGUUCUAUAUAGAAAACAGACUGACUAACUGCUGCCUGGGCUUAGGAUAGGACCAAUAGAAAACAGACUGACUGACUGCUGCCU